UACGUAGGGAGCGAGCGUUGUCCGGAAUUACUGGGCGUAAAGGGUGCGUAGGUGGUUUCUUAAGUCAGAGGUGAAAGGCUACGGCUCAACCGCGGGACUGCUUUUGAAACUGUGGGGCUGGAGUGCAGGAGAGGCAAGUGGAAUUCCUAGUGUAGCGGUGAAAUGCGUAGAUAUUAGGAGGAACACCAGUGGCGAAGGCGGCUUGCUGGACUGUAACUGACACUGAGGCUCGAAAGCGUGGGGAGCAAACAGG
rnacentral:rRNA from 1 species